rnacentral:rRNA from 1 species
GACGAACGCUGGCGGCGUGCUUAACACAUGCAAGUCGAACGGAAAGGCCCUGCUUUUGUGGGGUGCUCGAGUGGCGAACGGGUGAGUAACACGUGAGUAACCUGCCCUUGACUUUGGGAUAACUUCAGGAAACUGGGGCUAAUACCGGAUAGGAGCUCCUGCUGCAUGGUGGGGGUUGGAAAGUUUCGGCGGUUGGGGAUGGACUCGCGGCUUAUCAGCUUGUUGGUGGGGUAGUGGCUUACCAAGGCUUUGACGGGUAGCCGGCCUGAGAGGGUGACCGGCCACAUUAGGACUGAGAUACGGCCCAGACUCCUACGGGAGGCAGCAGUGGAGAAUAUUGCACAAGGGGCGGAAGCCUGAUGCGGCAACGCCGCGUGCGGGAUGACGGCCUUCGGGUUGUAAACCGCUUUCGCCUGUGACGAAGAGUGAGUGACGGUAAUGGGUAAAGAAGCACCGGCUAACUACGUG